CCCUGGUUAGCUCAGUUGGUAGAGUACUUCUCUGGAAAUGAAGAGUUCCGGGGUUUGAUACCCGGACCAGGCG
rnacentral:tRNA from 2 species